GAGAGUUCCCUGGGUGCAAUAUGAACCUGGUCUUUGUACAGCCUUUGUACACAGAGGGUGAGAAGAGACUAAAGAAAGAGGCAGAUCAAUAAACUAGGGGACUGGUAGGUAGCAGAUUUAAUAAACUAGGGGACUUACACAAUACACUUAUCUUGGACAGCCAACAAGAUGAGUAGCUCUCCACACCCAUCCAUUAGAAUCUUAAAAGUUUAUAUAGAGACCUAAACACGGUUCAGUCACAUAUUCAGUCCAGAGUAUGUCUCAAUAACACCUUGCUUUCCCAAGGCUGAAUCGUUGAAAAUGACUUCACUGUGGGCACAGUGGGUAGAAUAUACAUUCCACGGACAGAGGAGGGGUGAUAAGCCUCCAGUUGCCUGGAUCCAGCUCUUGGGUCAACUAGGGAUUAGAUCUGCCAACAAUCAGUAAUGCCUAAUACAUUAGACCCUCAAACAACAUACUAAUGCCUGUGCAGUCAAAAAUUUACAUGCAAUUUUAUGGUGGACCCUCCAUAUCCACGGUUCCACAUGCACAGUUCCACAUCCAGGAAGCUGACCAACAAUGGAUUGUGCGCUUCUGCAGUAUGUAUCUAUUGGGAAAAAUCCACAUGGAAAUGAACCCCUAUAGUUCAAACUCCUGCUGUUCAAGGGUCAAAUGUUCUUCAGAGGGCAGAAUGCAGAAGGUAUACGUAGACUGCUAGCAGAGAUGAAAGAUGGUUUAGGCGCUUGAGAGAGAAUCCUGGUUAAAGAUAUGAUAUCUCUUUAUCCACUACUCCUAGUGACAUAAUCUAAAGAACUCAUGCAUAUUAGUUAAGAAGGCAGGUAAAAGAAUGCUCAAAAAUACCCUUGCUUAUAAUAGGAAAAACUAGAAACAGCCUAAUUGUCUAUUGACAAGAAAAUGGGUAAACUGAUAGAGUCACAAUUUAACAUAAACGAUUACAAAAAUAAGCAAAUUAGAACUUCACAAAUCAACAUGGAUAACUCUAAAAAAUGUUAAAUGGUAAACCUAAGUUACAAAAAAUAAAAUAGCAAGUAUAUGUGUAUAUGGCAUAUAGAUGAGCAUUGACACACACACACACCCACACACACGAAAAGUACAAAAACAUGCAUGGAAAUAAAAGACUUCCAAUUCAAGACAGAAACUACCGCUGCAGAAUUAGGGGCAACGAGGACAUGUGGUCAGGUAGUAGUACUACACAGGCUACUGCCACUGUAUGGAUAUUGUUUUAUUUCUUAAGCGAGGUACUAUUUACCACAUACGUCUUACAUUAUUCCUUAUAUUCUUUGUUAUGUGUUUAAGAUGUUAUCAUUUCUAUAAGAGUGUAUUGCUGUGGGACAAGUAAAAGAUGCCAAGGGCCUGAACUAGUGGUAUAGACCUAGAAGUGACAAAGAGAAAACUCCUCUUACAAGAAAUACUUAGGAGACCAAAUGAUCACAAUUGGUCAUUCAAUUGGGAAGUGAAGAAGUUUCCAGCUCAAGAUCUCAAGUUGAUAGUUUCACUAACCAAGACAGGGACUGUCUGGGGAAGAGUAGUAGGUAGCCCAAACUUCUGAGUCUCCACGUGCAUUGAGAUCAUCCAUUUACUGUGUCAUGUUUCACUUUUAUGUUCUCGAGCAAGACUAACUUCAGUUUCUGGGAAGUUUAUCCACAAGCACCAGUUUCUAUGUGUGUUUAUAUUACUGCAGAGUAAAUACUCUUCCAUCAUUUUAUACCAAAGGACAAAGGAUCGAAUUGUUAAAAUACGUGUUUGGCUUAUCACCAAGUUGAAGACAUGAGGACAGUGGGCCUGCUGUGGGGACAGGUGCCAAUCUCAAAUCAAAUUCUAACAGGAUUCUGGUUUUUGCAGUUUUACGCAAUCACAUGUUACAACAUGGAUGUAAAGAAUCAUUGUUCACCUGAGCUGCAAAAGACCUCACGAAACACUUUGGCCUCGAGACCUGCUGUGCCAGCAUGUGGGAGCUGCCCCGUUCCAGACAGAUGCUUUUCUAAUAUCUGGCCUCUAAAUCUUCCCCGAGUUCUCCAUCUUCAACUUAGCCUUAUAUUGCUUUCGAGUUGGAGAGGUUUUUUUUGGUCUUGGUGUGUUUUUUAACUUGGGAGUAUCAAUUAAAUUAAAAAAAAUAUUUUCCUUCUCUACACCAUUCAGUCUUUAUAUGGAGAAUUGUGACUGUGUUAAUAUAAUUUGAUUGAUACAGUCUAGGAAGUAAUACAAUUUCAUCUGAAUGAAUGAAUAACCAUCCUUUAGAAGCUGAAUAAUUUAAAAUUAGGUUGAACAAAGCAUUUCAUUGUGGUUGGUAACCACGUAGCAGCAGGGGGCUGGUCGGGAUGAUAACGAGGAAAGAAGGAAUAAUGCUCCUCUAUGUUUAGCACCAACCCCAGUCUUGUGGAUUCUUAGUUUCAGACCAAAUUCAAAUUGCCUUGUGGAGUCUGUUUACUCUUGGGCAGACAAGACUUCCUGUUUCUCCAGAGGGAAAAACAAACUUUGCACAGGCCUAAAAUAAUCUCGUAAAACUUGGGCAACUUUAUUUUUUUCUCUUUUGAAACAGAGCAAAAAUUCCAGGUCAUAAAAAUAAAAUCAGCAAAAUAAUCAGAAUCGUAAAAUAAAUAAUAAAUAUUAAGUUUUUGUGCCCACUAACAUGAAUUUUAUUCAAGUGCAAAAUUCACAAUAUCUCUAAAAACUGCUGAAAUGAAUACUGAGACGGCAUAUGUAACAUUUCUAACAUAUUUGAUUUCUAACGUUCAGUGUAUAUGGAUUUUAGAUACUCAGGAAUGACGACUCAGCACCCGUUUCUAGAAUUACAGUAUAAGCUCCAUGAAGAAAGUGGCAUGUCUGUUUAUAUUCAUCAAGCCAUUUAAGGACUUAUACAGUGCUUGACCCAUUACAGAAAUUCACUGAUUUUUUUCACUAUUAUGAAAACCAUGAGCUAUUUUUAUCUGUAGAAAUAUAGCAUUUAUUCUUAAUACUCAUAUUUUUUGAACAAAUGGUGCUGGGACAGAUGGAUAUCCACACACAAAAGAGGGAAUUAGACUCUGACCUCACAACUAGUAUAAAAAUCAACUUAAAAUGUAUUCAAAGGUCUAUAAGUAAGAGCUAAAACUAUAAGGCCCCUAGAAGAACAAAAAGGUGUAUAUACAUCUUUAUGAUCUUGGAUUAGGCUAUGACUUUUUCACUAUGACACCAAAAGCAUAAGCAGAUAAAGAAAAAAGAUAAAUUUAACUUUAACAAUAGUAAAAACUUUCAUACUUCAAAGAAUACCAUAAAGACAAUGAAAAAUCGACCCAUAGAACCAUUUGCUUUAAAUGGCUGAAUUGUAUCAUAUAUACAUUAUAUUCUAAUAAAGCUGUUAAAAAUAUGAAAUAUAGGAGUUCCCUGGUGGCAUAGUGGGUUAAGGAUCUGGUGUUGUCACUGCUGAGGUUCAGGUCACUACUGUGGUACAGAUUCAAUCCCAGCCCAAGGAGUUUCCACAUGUCAUGGGUGCAGCCAAAAAAUAUACAAGAAGGAUAGGCCAAUUUAGAAAAAAAAUGUGAAAAAAACAAAAAAUAAAUACUAUAAAAUGUUACUGAAAGAAUAAAAGAGGGUUGACAAAUGGGGCAAUACACCAAAUCCAAGGAUUGGAAGACAAUAUUGUUAAGUUAGAUGUUCUCUGUUAAUUGAUCUAUAGAUUCAAAGAGAUCUGAGGAAGUUUUGUUUGUUUUGGUAAAGGCUGAAAACUUUAAAAUUCAUGGGGUAAAGCAAAGCAGCUAGAAUAGCCAAACAACUUUGUAUAAGAAGAAUAAAAUUAGACAACUAACAUGAGCUGACUUCAAGAUUUACUAUAAAGCUAUAAUAAUUUUAAAAUGUCAUAGUCACCUAAAGAUAGAAGGUAUGCUCCCAGGAGGAAUCUAGAAAUACACUUACAUAUAUGUCACCACUUUAAUUUUUUAAAGAGUAUAAAUGAAAUUUAUUGGAGGAAGCAUUGUCUUUUCAACAAAUUGGAUAUCAAUAUGGAAAAAACUGAACUUUGAUCCAUACCUUGUAUAAUGUAUGAGAAUUAAAUUAAAAUAGAUAAUUGACCUAAAUGUGGUACCUAAAAUUAUAUAACAAUAUGAGAAAACAUAGGCUAUAAUAUAAAAAUCAUGAUCUAUAAAAGAAAAACUCGAUGGACUAAAUUUCAUCAAAAUAAGACCUUUUGUUCUUUGAAUGAUAUAGACAGGGAAAAACAUUUAGAAAUUAUAUAACUAUCGCUUCUUGGCCUUUUGACUCAGAUCAAGUGUAGAAAUCACACAGCUGAGAGAAGAAUUACAUCUACCAUAUAUAUAAAAAAACCUAAAAAUACAAUAAAAUUUUAAUAGAUGAAAUAUUAUUCCUCAAAAGAUAUAUGAAUGACAAGUAUAUAGAAAGAUGCUCAGUGUCAAUAACUACAAGGAAAAUGAAAUUUAAAACCAUGAUUAGAUAUUACCAGGCACUGGUUAUAAUGUCUAAAAUUAAAACAAAACCCUAACGAUUAAUGAUAAUGAGGAUGUGGAACAGUUAGAAUCUUAAUUUAUUGUUAAUGAGAGUGUACAAUAGCACAUCCAACUUGCAAAAUUAUUAUAUAGUUUUUAAUAUAGGUAAACAUAUUCCCACCUCUUAACACAGAAUUUAACUUCAGUUAGAAGCAUGGAAGAAAAAUGGUUGUCUGUUUUAGAAUGACUUCUUCAAUAAUACUAAUAGAAUCUUCAUUUAUAAUUUCUCCUAAAGUAGAAAAAAAACCAACUAUCUACCAAAUGAUAAUGCAUGAACAAAUGAUAAUACCUUUAUCCAAUGGAGUUCUACACAUCAGAAUAAAUAAGCUACUGCUAUAUUCAAUGACUUGGAUGGAUACAUAAAAGAAUAAAUGAUUAAUAAUUCUAUCUCUGUGAGGUUCAAAUAUGACUGGAAAACUCACUGAAGUUAUACAAAUGUAACCAUCACAGUUGACUACUGAAAGGGAACGGUCACAAAGAUGCUUUCUCAGGUCAUGGGAAGACUUUUAUAGCAGCUAUAAUGGUUCUAAUUUAAAUAUCAUAGGUCUAAAACUCUUUAUGAGGAUGGAAGAGGAGUUUCAGUUGUGGCGCAGCUGAAACGAAUCUGACUAGGAACCGUGAGGUUGUGGGUUUGAUCCCUGGCCUCUCUCAGUGAGUUAAGGAUCUGGUGUUGCUGUGAGCUGUGGUCCAGAUGAGGCUAGGAUCUGGUGUUGCUGUGGCUGUUGUGUAAGUUGGCAGCUGUAGCUCCAAUUUGACCCCUAGCCUGGGAACCUCCAUUUGCCACGGAUGUGGCCCUAAAAAAAAAAAAAA
rnacentral:lncRNA from 1 species